rnacentral:rRNA from 1 species
UGCAGUCGAACGGGGAUGAAAGAGCUUGCUCUUUCUUCUAGUGGCGGACGGGUGAGUAACACGUGGAUAACCUGCCCUUUGCAAAGGAAUAACAACCAGAAAUGGUUGCUAAAACCUUAUAAGCUCACGAGAUGGCAUCGUUUAGUGAGAAAAUAUUAAUAGGCAAAGGAGGGGUCCGCGUCUGAUUAGCUAGUUGGCGGGGUAAAGGCCCACCAAGGCGACGAUCAGUAGCCGGCCUGAGAGGGUGAACGGCCACAUUGGGACUGAGACACGGCCCAAACUCCUACGGGAGGCAGCAGUGGGGAAUAUUGCGCAAUGGGGGAAACCCUGACGCAGCAACGCCGCGUGAAGGAAGAAGGCUUUCGGGUUGUAAACUUCUAUCGACGGGGAAGAAAAAAAUGACGGUACCCGAGUAAGAAGCACCGGCUAAAUACGUGCCAGCAGCCGCGGUAAUACGUAUGGUGCAAGCGUUAUCCGGAAUUACUGGGCGUAAAGGGUGAGUAGGCGGUCAACUAAGUCAUAUGUGAAAAUCCAGGGCUCAACCCUGGACUUGCAUAAGAAACUGGCAGACUGGAGUGCAGGAGAAGUAAGCGGAAUUCCUAGUGUAGCGGUGAAAUGCGUAGAUAUUUAGGAAGAACACCAGUGGGCGAAGGCGG